CUAGUGUAUAGGUCCAGACUUGUAGUUUGAUCACAUACAUUGUUUGUCCAUGAAUAAGCUAUGGAAAAGCCUAGAGGAGUUGACUGAACAGUGACUAUAAAAAUGGUGCAUCUUUGUGGAUCUCUGCCAGGGGUUACAGUGCCAGUUCAUAGGUCCAGCCUGCUCUUUUGAGCACAUGCAUUGUUUGUCAAUAGCUGACAUGAAUAAGGUAUCGAAGAACUGGAAGGAGUUUUUGGAAAAAUACGACAAUUUUUCCAUAAUUGGCAGGAAACCACCUGGUGCUGUUCGAACACAUAUACUGACUGACCAGCAAGAGUUGGCUGUGGUGGAAAUGGUCUGGGCAAGGAAUGACAUGAAGGCUGUCUGAAAAAAAGCGGGUUAUUGAGGAGAGAAAUGACACCUUGCAAUGUUGCAUCAAUCAGCCUUCCAACUAUUGCCAGCCUUUUGAAAAAGCACCAGGUUUCUAUUAAACAAAUUUACCUGGUGCCUUUUGAGAGAAACAAUGCCCAGGUGAAACGACUGUGUGCAGAAUAUGUUUAGAGGGCAAUGGAGCUGGAUGCUGCUGUGAAUCAUCACAAGUUUAUUUUUGUUGACGAGGUGGGCUUUAAUCUGGCAAAAACCAGACACCGUGGAUGUAACCUUAUUGGCCAACGGACAACCAUCCAAGUGCCUGGACUACGUGGGGGAAACAUCUCAAUGUGUGCGGCUGUAUGUGAAGAUGGUGUGGUAGGCCGUAGACCAGUUCUUGGAUUAUAUAACACUGAACACCUGAUGGCUUUCAAGUGAACUUAAACAGGCCUGUCAGGGUGAAGAUAUUAGAUAUGUCAUUGUGUGGGGCAGUGUCAGCUUCCAUCAUCCACAGCUGGUUCAGGAAUGGUUUCAUGCUCAUCCUCGGUUCAUUACCCUAUAUCUCCCACCAUACUCCCAUUUCCUCAAACCGAUUGAGGAAUUUUUCUCUACUUGGAGGUGGAAGGUGUAUGAUCGCUAUCCCCAUGAGCAUGUCACCCUCCUUCAAGCCAUGGAUGAAGCUUGCAAUGAUAUAACUGCAGAACAAUGUCAAGCCUGGAUUUGUCAUGUCAGAAGGUUUUUCCCCGUGCAUGAACAACGAGGAUAUUCACUGUGAAGUUGAUGAAAAUGUAUGGCCGAAUGUUGAAGACAGGCUUGAUGUUAAUUAAUCUGAGAUUAUCUUCAUUUACACUAAAUUGUUUACAUUUAUUUUGUUUCACAAUGGAACCACAAUAUUGUUGUAAAAAUACUUUUAAAUAUUUUUCCUGCAUAUGUGACUUUUGAUGUGUUCUUUGAUCAUAUUUUACUUGUUGUAUAAAUGUUUUUAUUAUGGCUUUUGUACGUUUGGUUGGAUAAUGUAAGUGUAAUAUCUGUUGUGAUGACUGUGUACACUGUAUUACAGUACAGAAACAUUCAUUCAGAACCAAGGGUGAUUUGAAAUGUGUACAGUGAGGGGAAAAAUGUAUUUGAUCCCCUGCUGAUGUUGUAUGUUUGCCCACUGACAAAGAAAUGAUCAGUCUAUAAUUUUAAUGGUG
ensembl:lncRNA